GGGGCGCAGCGUUGUCCGGAAUUAUUGGGCGUAAAGAGCUCGUAGGCGGUUUGUCGCGUCUGCUGUGAAAGCCCGGGGCUUAACCCCGGGUGUGCAGUGGGUACGGGCAGACUUGAGUGCAGUAGGGGAGACUGGAACUCCUGGUGUAGCGGUGAAAUGCGCAAAUAUCAGGAAGAACACCGAUGGCGAAGGCAGGUCUCUGGGCUGUUACUGACGCUGAGGAGCGAAAGCAUGGGGAGCGAACAGGAUUAGAUACCCUGGUAGUCCAUGCCGUAAACGUUGGGCACUAGGUGUGGGGGACAUUCCACGUUUUCCGCGCCGUAGCUAACGCAUUAAGUGCCCCGCCUGGGGAGUACGGCCGCAAGGCUAAAACUCAAAGGAAUUGACGGGGGCCCGCACAAGCGGCGGAGCAUGCGGAUUAAUUCGAUGCAACGCGAAAAACCUUACCAAGGCUUGACAUACACCGGAUCGGCUCAAAGAUGGGUUUUCCUCCUUGUGGGGCUGGUGUACAGGUGGUGCAUGGUUGUCGUCAGCUCGUGUCGUGAGAUGUUGGGUUAAGUCCCGCAACGAGCGCAACCCUCGUUCUAUGUUGCCAGCACGUGAUGGUGGGGACUCAUAGGAGACUGCCGGGGUCAACUCGGAGGAAGGUGGGGAUGACGUCAAAUCAUCAUGCCCCUUAUGUCUUGGGCUUCACGCAUGCUACAAUGGCCAGUACAAUGGGUUGCGAUACCGUGAGGUGGAGCUAAUCCCAAAAAGCUGGUCUCAGUUCGGAUCGUGGUCUGCAACUCGACCACGUGAAGUCGGAGUCGCUAGUAAUCGCAGAUCAGCAACGCUGCGGUGAAUAC
rnacentral:rRNA from 1 species